rnacentral:sRNA from 1 species
ACGAGCAGGGCUUGCCUUGCUCGUUAGUGGCGGACGGCUGAGUAACGCGUGGGUGACCUGCCCCGAAGUGGGGAAUAACUGCCCGAAAGGGUGGCUAAUACCGCAUGCGGAGCCUGGUUCGUUCCAGUCUCCAAAGCCGCGAGGCGCUUCGGGAGGGGCCUGCGUCCGAUUAGCUCGUUGGUGGGGUAACGGCUCACCAAGGCGGCGAUCGGUAGGUGGUCUGAGAGGACGAUCACCCAGACUGGGACUGAGACACGGCCCAGAGUCCUACGGGAGGCAGCACUGGGAUCUUGCGGAAAACUCGAGCCAU